rnacentral:rRNA from 1 species
GGGGGGGGGGGCAAGCGUUGUUCGGAAUUACUGGGCGUAAAGGGCGUGUAGGCGGUCCUGCAAGUCUUUCGUGAAAUCCCACAGCUCAACUGUGGAACUGCGAGGGAAACUGCAGGACUUGAGUCCGGGAGAGGAGAGUGGAAUUCCCAGUGUAGCGGUGAAAUACGUAGAUAUUGGGAGGAACACCGGUGGCGAAGGCGGCUCUCUGGACCGGUACUGACGCUGAGGCGCGAAAGCUAGGGGAGCAAACGGGAUUAGAUACCCCGGUAGUCCUAGCCUUAAACGAUGAGCACUUGGUGUGGCGGGUAUCGACCCCUGCCGUGCCGAAGCUAACGCAUUAAGUGCUCCGCCUGGGGAGUACGGUCGCAAAGGCUG